rnacentral:rRNA from 1 species
GACAGAGGGUGCAAACGUUGUUCGGAAUUACUGGGCGUAAAGCGAGUGUAGGCGGUUCGCUAAGUCGGGUGUGAAAGCCCCGGGCUCAACCCGGGAAGUGCACUCGAAACUGGCGAGCUAGAGUAUCGGAGAGGUUGGUGGAAUUCUCGGUGUAGAGGUGAAAUUCGUAGAUAUCGAGAGGAACACCGGUGGCGAAGGCGGCCAACUGGACGAAUACUGACGCUGAGACUCGAAAGCGUGGGGAGCAAACAGG